rnacentral:rRNA from 1 species
CGAAUUGAAGCCCCAGUAAACGGCGGCCGUAACUAUAACGGUCCUAAGGUAGCGAAAUUCCUUGUCGGGUAAGUUCCGACCUGCACGAAUGGCGUAACGAUCUCCCCGCUGUCUCUGAUGUGGACUCAGCGAAAUUGAACUGUGUGUCAAGAUGCACACUUCCCGCGGUUAGACGGAAAGACCCCAUGAACCUUUACUAUAGCUUCGCACUGGCAUCAGGAUUGUGAUGUGCAGGAUAGGUGGUAGGCAUCGAAGCGGGGACGCCAGUUCCCGUGGAGCCAACCUUGAGAUACCACCCUUCGCCAUCUUGAUGUCUAACCGCGGCCCGUUAUCCGGGUCCGGGACCCUGCGUGGUGGGUAGUUUGACUGGGGCGGUCGCCUCCCAAACAGUAACGGAGGCGCGCGAUGGUGGGCUCAGACCGGUCGGAAAUCGGUCGUCGAGUGCAAUGGCAGAAGCCCGCCUGACUGCAAGACUGACAAGUCGAGCAGAGACGAAAGUCGGCCAUAGUGAUCCGGUGGUCCCGAGUGGAAGGGCCAUCGCUCAACGGAUAAAAGGUACUCUGGGGAUAACAGGCUGAUGAUGCCCAAGAGUCCAUAUCGACGGCAUCGUUUGGCACCUCGAUGUCGGCUCAUCUCAUCCUGGGGCUGGAGCAGGUCCCAAGGGUAUGGCUGUUCGCCAUUUAAAGAGGUACGUGAGCUGGGUUUAGAACGUCGUGAGACAGUUCGGUCCCUAUCUGCCGUGGGUGUAGGAGACUUGAGAAGAGUUGCCCCUAGUACGAGAGGACCGGGGUGAACGAUCCACUGGUGGACCAGUUGUCGUGCCAACGGCAGUGCUGGGUAGCUAUGAUCGGACAGGAUAACCGCUGAAGGCAUCUAAGCGGGAAGCCCCCUUCAAAACAAGGUCUCCCUUGAGGGCCGUGGAAGACCACCACGUCGAUAGGCCAGAGGUGUAAGCGCAGCAAUGCGUUCAGCUGACUGGUACUAAUUGCCCGAUAGGCUUGAUCUG